UACGUUGUCUGCUAUCGCAGGAAGACCCGCUGAACUGAAGCA
rnacentral:rRNA from 1 species